rnacentral:rRNA from 1 species
CUGAUACCAGCAAUACCGCGUGUGUGAAGAAGGCCUGAGGGUUGUAAAGCACUUUUAAUCGGGAGGAACACCUGUCAGCNAAUACCUGGCAGCAUGACAUUACCUGAUACGAAAAAAGCACCGGCUAACUCCGUG